CCUGGUGCUCUGCCACCAGUACCCUACCAGACCGUGCGCCGGUGGCAACGCCGGGGUGCGAAGCGUCCGGGACAAUGUAGUCUCCACCUUCGGGUGGGCCGGGAUCGCGCGAGCGGAACCGGCGGCUACCAGCCGCAACGUGGCCAGAAGC
rfam:Thioalkalivibrio nitratireducens DSM 14787, complete genome.